rnacentral:rRNA from 1 species
GACGAACGCUGGCGGCGUGCUUAACACAUGCAAGUCGAGCGGAAAGGCCCUUCGGGGUCCUCGAGCGGCGAACGGGUGAGUAACACGUGAGUAACCUGCCCCAGACUUUGGGAUAACCCUCGGAAACGGGGGCUAAUACCGGAUACGACACAGCUUCGCAUGGGGUCUGUGUGGAAAGUUUUUCGGUUUGGGUUGGGCUCGCGGCCUAUCAGCUUGUUGGUGGGGUGAUGGCCUACCAAGGCGACGACGGGUAGCCGGCCUGAGAGGGCGACCGGCCACACUGGGACUGAGACACGGCCCAGACUCCUACGGGAGGCAGCAGUGGGGAAUAUUGCACAAUGGGCGGAAGCCUGAUGCAGCGACGCCGCGUGAGGGAUGACGGCCUUCGGGUUGUAAACCUCUUUCAGUAGGGACGAAGCGUAAGUGACGGUACCUGCAGAAGAAGCGCCGGCCAACUACGUG